GAUGAACGCUGGCGGCGUGCCUAAUACAUGCAAGUCGAGCGAACGGACGAGAAGCUUGCUUCUCUGAUGUUAGCGGCGGACGGGUGAGUAACACGUGGAUAACCUACCUAUAAGACUGGGAUAACUUCGGGAAACCGGAGCUAAUACCGGAUAAUAUUUUGAACCGCAUGGUUCAAAAGUGAAAGACGGUCUUGCUGUCACUUAUAGAUGGAUCCGCGCUGCAUUAGCUAGUUGGUAAGGUAACGGCUUACCAAGGCAACGAUGCAUAGCCGACCUGAGAGGGUGAUCGGCCACACUGGAACUGAGACACGGUCCAGACUCCUACGGGAGGCAGCAGUAGGGAAUCUUCCGCAAUGGGCGAAAGCCUGACGGAGCAACGCCGCGUGAGUGAUGAAGGUCUUCGGAUCGUAAAACUCUGUUAUUAGGGAAGAACAUAUGUGUAAGUAACUGUGCACAUCUUGACGGUACCUAAUCAGAGAGCCACGGCUAACUACGUGCCAGCAGCCGCGGUAAUACGUAGGUGGCAAGCGUUAUCCGGAAUUAUUGGGCGUAAAGCGCGCGUAGGCGGUUUUUUAAGUCUGAUGUGAAAGCCCACGGCUCAACCGUGGAGGGUCAUUGGAAACUGGAAAACUUGAGUGCAGAAGAGGAAAGUGGAAUUCCAUGUGUAGCGGUGAAAUGCGCAGAGAUAUGGAGGAACACCAGUGGCGAAGGCGACUUUCUGGUCUGUAACUGACGCUGAUGUGCGAAAGCGUGGGGAUCAAACAGGAUUAGAUACCCUGGUAGUCCACGCCGUAAACGAUGAGUGCUAAGUGUUAGGGGGUUUCCGCCCCUUAGUGCUGCAGCUAACGCAUUAAGCACUCCGCCUGGGGAGUACGACCGCAAGGUUGAAACUCAAAGGAAUUGACGGGGACCCGCACAAGCGGUGGAGCAUGUGGUUUAAUUCGAAGCAACGCGAAGAACCUUACCAAAUCUUGACAUCCUUUGACAACUCUAGAGAUAGAGCUUUCCCCUUCGGGGGACAAAGUGACAGGUGGUGCAUGGUUGUCGUCAGCUCGUGUCGUGAGAUGUUGGGUUAAGUCCCGCAACGAGCGCAACCCUUAAGCUUAGUUGCCAUCAUUAAGUUGGGCACUCUAAGUUGACUGCCGGUGACAAACCGGAGGAAGGUGGGGAUGACGUCAAAUCAUCAUGCCCCUUAUGAUUUGGGCUACACACGUGCUACAAUGGACAAUACAAAGGGCAGCGAAACCGCGAGGUCAAGCAAAUCCCAUAAAGUUGUUCUCAGUUCGGAUUGUAGUCUGCAACUCGACUACAUGAAGCUGGAAUCGCUAGUAAUCGUAGAUCAGCAUGCUACGGUGAAUACGUUCCCGGGUCU
rnacentral:rRNA from 1 species